rnacentral:rRNA from 1 species
UCCAGUUGAUCCUGCUGGCGGCUGCGGCUCUCUGGUUUGCGCUUAGACAUGCAAGUUGUUUUCUUUAGUUCUUCGGAAUAGGAGGAAAAGCGGACUGCUCAGUAACACGUCGAAAACCUACCCUUAGGUCAGGGAUACUCUCGGGAAACUGAGGUUAAUACCUGAUAAGAGAUUUACCCUGGAAAGAUUAAUCUCUAAAACUCGUGCCCAAGGAUGGGUCGGCGGCGGAUUAGCUAGUUGGCGGGGUAAUGGCCCACCAAGGCGAUGAUCCGUAAGGGCUCUUAGCGGAGAGGCCCUGAGAGGGAGUCUGAGACACUACUCCCAGCCCUACGGGGUGCAGCAGUUAGGAAUCAUCUGCAAUGCGCGCAAGCGUGACAGUUUGAGCCAGAGUGCUUUUCAAUGAAAAGCUUUUGCCAAAUGCAAAAAGUUUGGCGAAUAAGGACUGGGUAAGACGGGUGCCAGCCGCCGCGGUAGUACCCGCGGUCCAAGUCGCAGCCAUCUUUAUUGGGUCUAAAAUAUCCGUAGCUUGCCAAGUAAGUUCCUUGUGAAAUCCUGUGUCUUGAGCACAGGGCGUGCGGGGAGUACUGCCUGGCUAGAGACUGGAAGACGUAGAAAGUACGAUCAAAGUAGUGGUAAAAUACUUUAAUCUUGGUCGGACUCACAAUAGCGAAGGCAUUCUACGGGGACAGUUCUGACAGUGAGGGAUGAAGGCCAGGGGCGCAAAACGGAUUAGAUACCCGUGUAGUCCUGGCAGUAAACACUGCACACUAAACAUUAGUACCUCCUCGAGAGGUAUUGGUGCUGAAGCGAAGGCGAAGAGUGUGCUACCUGGGAAGUAUAGUCGCAAGACCGAAACUUAAAGGAAUAGGCGGGGGGAUACUACAACCGGUGACGCGUGCGGUUCAAUCAGAUUCUACACCGUGAACCUCACCAGGGGCGACAGCAGAAUGAAGGUCAGUCUGAAGGGCUUACCUGACACGCUGAGAGGAAUUACAUAGCCGACGUCAGCCUGUGCCGUGAGGUGACCUGUUAAAUCAGGUAACAGGCAAGACCACAUCUCUAUUUACUUUGUGUACAAUAGAGAGAUUGCCCGGGUAACUGGGAUGAAAGUGUGGGCUACGUUAGGUGGCACAGUCCGAAUCCCCUGGGCAACACGCGCGCGUCAAUGGCAGAUACAAUGAGAUGCAACUCCGAAAGGAGAAGCUAAUCUCCUAAAGUCUGUCUCAGUCCAGAUUGAGGUUUGCAACUCAGCCUCAUGACGCUGGAAUCGGUAGUAAUCGUUUGUUAUCAGCGAACGGUGAAUGCGUCAAUGUCCCUUGCACUCACUGCCCGUCAAACCAACCAAGUUUAGUUAUGGUGAAACCCUU